UGGGGUCCUGCGCAACAGUAAGCCGUGAACCUUGUCAGGUCCGAGAGGAAGCAGCAAUAAGCGGACCUGCUGUGUGCCGCAGAUCAACCUC
rnacentral:SRP_RNA from 1 species